rnacentral:rRNA from 1 species
UACGUAGGUGACAAGCGUUGUCCGGAUUUACUGGGCGUAAAGAGCGCGCAGGCGGUCGUUCAAGUCGAGUGUGAAAGCCCCCGGCUCAACUGGGGAGGGUCACUCGAUACUGAUCGACUCGAAGGCAGGAGAGGGAAGUGGAAUUCCCGGUGUAGUGGCGAAAUGCGUAGAUAUCGGGAGGAACACCAGUGGCGAAGGCGACUUCCUGGCCUGUUCUUGACGCUGAGGCGCGAAAGCUAGGGGAGCAAACGGG